GUCCCCGUAGCUCAAUGGAUAGAGUACGCGCCUUCUAAGCGCGUUAUCCAGGUUCGAUUCCUGGCGGGGACA
rnacentral:tRNA from 1 species